GGAUUAGGCAUGCAAGUCGAGCGCUCGUAGCAAUACGAGAGCGGCGAACGGCGUAGUAAGGUGUAGGAACGUGCCCUCUGGACGGGGAUAGCUACGGGAAACUGUAGGUAAUACCCGAUGAUCUCUGCGGAGCAAAGGUGUGAUUCCGCCAGAGGAGCGGCUUACAUGAUAUUAGCUAGUUGGCGGGGUAAUGGCCCACCAAGGCGAUGAUGUCUAGGGGGUGUGAGAGCAUGGCCCCCACGACCGGAACUGAGAUACUGUCCGGACACCUACGGGUGGCUGCAGUCGAGAAUCUUCCGCAAUGGACGAAAGUCUGACGGAGCGAUGCCGCGUGCGGGAUGAAGGCCCUUGGGUUGUAAACCGCUGUCAGAGGGGAUGAAAUCUCCGGAGGUUCUCCUCCGGAGUUGACAGAGCCUCAGAGGAAGCACGGGCUAAGUAUGUGCCAGCAGCCGCGGUAAUA
rnacentral:rRNA from 1 species